CCAGACUCCUACGGGAGGCAGCAGUGAGGAAUAUUGGUCAAUGGGCGGGAGCCUGAACCAGCCAAGCCGCGUGAGGGAAGAAGGUACAGCGUAUCGUAAACCCCUUUUGUCAGGGAACAAAGGCGGGGACUAGUCCCCGGAUGAGGGUACCUGAAGAAAAAGCAUCGGCUAACUCCGUGCCAGCAGCCGCGGUAAUACGGAGGAUGCGAGCGUUAUCCGGAUUUAUUGGGUUUAAAGGGUGCGCAGGCGGGCCUGUUAAGCCGGGGGUAAACGCCGGGGGCUCACCCCGGGCGAGCCGUUGAAACUGGCGGGCUGGAGUUGGAGAGAAGUACGCGGAAUGCGCGGUGUAGCGGUGAAAUGCUUAGAUAUCGCGCAGAACCCCGAUUGCGAAGGCAGCGUACCGGCGCCCAACUGACGCUCAUGCACGAAAGCGUGGGUAUCGAACAGGAUUAGAUACCCGCGUAC
rnacentral:rRNA from 1 species